GGGGGCGACACGGCUUCGACGGGGGUGAUGGAUCCGCUGGAUGCAUGCCGAGCACCAUCGACUCGUAAAUCCGAUGGAACCUGAUGUAACUGCGGACACGCAGCUGCCUCUGGCCGCGUAACAGACGCGACCCGUCCACCCCGCCAUCGCCCGCGUGACGGGAUUGGGCGUCAUUUAGUGGGCUGGCCUGCAGGCGCCGUCCCGACACCUGCAGGCGAGACUUUUCGGGGCUGGCUUCCGGCUGUUUUUGCCGUCCUUCGAUGCCGGGAGCGAGAAUUCAAGGGACGGACAAGCAUGUAGAUUCCGGCGAAGACGCACCUUCGGACGCGGGUUCGACUCCCGCCGCCUCCACCA
rnacentral:tmRNA from 1 species